GCAGUCGUGGCCAAGUGAUUAAGGCGAUAGACUAGAAAUCCAUUGGGGUCUCCCCGCACAGGUUCGAAUCCUGUCGACUGCG
rnacentral:tRNA from 1 species